UACGUAGGGGGCGAGCGUUGUCCGGAAUCAUUGGGCGUAAAGCGCGUGUAGGCGGCCCGGUAAGUCCGCUGUGAAAGUCCAGGGCUCAACCCUGGGAUGCCGGUGGAUACUGUCGGGCUCGAGUCCGGAAGAGGCGAGUGGAAUUCCUGGUGUAGCGGUGAAAUGCGCAGAUAUCAGGAGGAACACCAAUGGCGAAGGCAGCUCGCGGGGACGGUACUGACGCUGAGGUGCGAAAGCGUGGGGAGCAAACAGG
rnacentral:rRNA from 1 species